CUGACACAGGUAUGUACACACACACUCAGAUACACACAUACAUAAAGGUAUAAAUGCAGGGGUGUAUAUGUGUACAGUGCUAGAGAUGGAGUGUAUUUGUGUUGGCAUUAAAAUGCUGGGAUGUAUGCAUUACCACACACUCAGAUGCACACCUACACACACUGACACAUACAUACAUACAUACAUACAUACACACACACACACACACACACACAAACACACACACAGGUACACAUACACACUGACACACAAGUACACAUAGACAGGUAUACAUACACACAGAAACACUGACACACAGACAAACACAGCCAGAUACCAACACUGACACAAACACAGCCAGAUACACACAAGGACAUAAACACAGCCAGAUACACACACACAUAUAUAUGUGUACAUUUACAUAUUUUAAUCUCUGCCUUCUAGCAGCUCUUGGACAGCAACUCCCAGCAACCUUGGCCAUAAUAAUGUCUCAACUCUGUUCUUACAUACCCUGGUCCAGAAUUUGGCAAAAGUGAC